CCUACGGGAGGCAGCAGUGGGGAAUAUUGGACAAUGGGCGAAAGCCUGAACCAGCGACGCCGCGUGAAGGAAGAAGGACUUCGGGAUGGAAAACUCUAUCAGCAGGGAAGAAAAUGAGGGUACCUGUGUAAGAAGUGCCGGCUAACUACGAGCCAGCAGCCGCGGUAAUACGGAGGGGGCAAGCGUUAUGCGGAUUUACUGGGGGUAAAGGGGGCGUAGACGGGAGUGCAAGUCGGGAGGGAAAGGUAGGGGCUUAACCCCCGGACUGCGCUGGAAACUGUUGGUCUGGAGUGGAGGAGAGGUAUGUGGAAUUCCUGGUGUAGCGGUGAAAUGCGUAGAUAUUAGGAGGAACACCAGUGGCGAAGGCGGCUUACUGGACUGUAACUGACGUUGAGGCUCGAAAGCGUGGGGAGCAAACAGGAUUAGAUACCCCAGUAGUC
rnacentral:rRNA from 1 species